rnacentral:lncRNA from 1 species
CCCAGCAGUCGAUCAAGCUCGCCACCGGCCGCGACGUCAGGGUCUUCAGCGCCGACGUCAGGGACUACGACGCCGUCAAGCGAGCGGUGGAGGAGGCCGGCCCGAUCGACGUGCUCGUGUGCAACCAUGGGGUUUACGUGCCGCAGGAGCUGGAGGAGCAGGAUCUGGAGGAGAUCAAGUUCAUGAUCGACGUCAAUCUCACGGGGACCUUCCAUUUGAUCAAGGCCGCCUUGCCCGGGAUGAAGAGGAAUCGGGCCGAGAAAGGGCCCGGUUCCAUUGCGAUUAUGUCGUCGCAGGCGGGCCAGGUAAAUUUCCCAAAUUCAGUUGUCCAAUUAGGUUUCCUCUUCGAAAAAAUGCUAUCUUUGGACGGAUCCCAUGUUUCAGAUCUCUCUCUCUGUGCAAUUAGUUUACUGGGUGCAAUGUAUGUAGUUCAAGUGAUGAGCUGAUUUCUGAAAGUUGGACUGUUUAUGAACUCUUUGAUACUUUGAUAUGAAGCUAAAAGAGCUGAUAUAUCUAUAUAUGCAUAUUAUCUGUUUCUUGGUGAAUGGUCAAUGGGUGGAUUGAGAAGGUUUUGGUGGGGAAAUCCAUUNGUGUGCAACCAUGGGGUUUACGUGCGCAGGAGCUGGAGGAGCAGGAUCUGGAGGAGAUCAAGUUCAUGAUCGACGUCAAUCUCACGGGGACCUUCCAUUUGAUCAAGGCCGCCUUGCCCGGGAUGAAGAGGAAUCGGGCCGAGAAAGGGCCCGCUUCCAUUGCGAUUAUGUCGUCGC